GACGGGGGCCCGCACAAGCAGUGGAGUAUGUGGUUUAAUUCGAAGCAACGCGAAGAACCUUACCAGGGCUUGACAUAUAGAUGAAUACAUAAGAGANUAUGUAGUAUUUUUAAUACAUCUAUACAGGUGGUGCAUGGUUGUCGUCAGCUCGUGUCGUGAGAUGUUGGGUUAAGUCCCGCAACGAGCGCAACCCCUGUUCUUAGUUGCCAGCAUGUAAAGAUGGGAACUCUAAGAAGACUGCCGGUGAGAAAUCGGAGGAAGGUGGGGACGACGUCAAAUCAUCAUGCCCUUUAUGUCCUGGGCUACACACGUACUACAAUGGCCGCAACAGAGAGAAACGAAACAGUGAUGUGGAGUAAAACUUAAAAAACGGUCUCAGUUCGGAUUGAAGGCUGAAAUUCGCCUUCAUGAAGUCGGAAUUGCUAGUAAUGGCAGGUCAGCAUACUGCCGUGAAUACGUUCCCGGGCCUUGUACACACCGCCCGUCACACCAUGAGAGUUGGAGAUACCCGAAGCCUGUGAGCUAACUUUUAGAGGCAGCAGUCGAAGGUAGAGCCGAUGAUGG
rnacentral:rRNA from 1 species